rnacentral:rRNA from 1 species
AACGAACGCUGGCGGCAGGCUUAACACAUGCAAGUCGAGCGCCCCGCAAGGGGAGCGGCAGACGGGUGAGUAACGCGUGGGAAUCUACCCAUCUCUACGGAAUAACGCAUGGAAACGUGUGCUAAUACCGUAUCCGUCCUUCGGGAGAAAGAUUUAUCGGAGAUGGAUGAGCCCGCGUUGGAUUAGCUAGUUGGUGGGGUAAAGGCCUACCAAGGCGACGAUCCAUAGCGGGUCUGAGAGGAUGAUCAGCCACACUGGGACUGAGACACGGCCCAGACUCCUACGGGAGGCAGCAGUGGGGAAUAUUGGACAAUGGGCGCAAGCCUGAUCCAGCCAUGCCGCGUGAGUGAUGAAGGCCCUAGGGUUGUAAAGCUCUUUCACCGGUGAAGAUAAUGACGGUAACCGGAGAAGAAGCCCCGGCUAACUUCGUGCCAGCAGCCGCGGUAACAC